ACUGCUGGAAGCCUACUAGAUAUUUAAUGUAAUCACCAUGAUAAUGGCUAAGAUUUAUUAAGCAUCUGCUAUGUGCUUUAUGGUGCUAAGAACUUCUCAUGUAUUUACUCAUUGAAUCUUCACAAAAACCUUAUGAACAUCAGAGCUGAUGAAUACUCAGUCAGAAGAAAUGCAGGCCUGCAGGUUUGUCCACAAAGUGUUCCCAUCAACCGUGUGAAAAUGCGCUCGGCGAAGCAUAGCUCCCUGGAGCAAGUUAGUGAAUAUUAAUGUUUAGCACAUUAUAAGGCUCUACAAGUACUCUGAUGUUGGAGGCCAAGGGGGAGAUAAACGAGCAAGGGGGGAAGACAGCUGUUAUCAACCAGGCUGAAGGUCAAAACGAAAAUUCUUUUGCAUAUCUCUUGGUGGGUAAAAGGCCAGACUGGGGACCUUGAGACCCAGGGACAAUGCCCAGCUCUGAAUAGGACAUCGGUGGUAUUUCAGUGAGCUAGCUCACAUCUUCACUUCUGUUCCUCCAUCCAUAAAAUGAGGAUAUGAAUAUUUCAGGACGGCUCUCUCAAAUGUUACUGUCUAUAUGAAUCCACCUUGGGAUAUUAGUAAAAUGAGUUUCUGAUACAGAAGAUCUAGAAAGCGCCUGAAAUGCUGAUAUUCUGUCUCCCAGGUGGAGGAGUUCAGCUAUUACCUUGACUUUGCCGAAGUCCUAGGCACUCCCAUGCCCUCAGAGUCUCAUUUUGAAUCCAGGCACUUAGGGAUGCUAUUUUUCCACAUCAAACAGCUUCCUCCCAGCCAAAGAAUUCUGGUGACAGUAGUGAAGAUAAUUUUCACUCCUGCUUACAGAAUGACAAAGCAAAAGCAAAGAGGAGAAGAAUGAAGUAAAGACAACCAAAGGAAAAGACUGAUGGCUCCUUAAGAAUGAUCUUGAUAAAGGAAUGGUGGCUGAGGGGUCCAUCUCCUAAACCACCCACCUUACUGACUCCCUAGAGCAAUGCCAUACAGAAAGCUGCACCUUGAGGGGAAGACACAAGAAUCCUGGAGUGGAAAAAAAUUGGGUAAUGAUGACAGCCUUCGAGGUCUUGAGAGUAAAGCAGAAGCAAAAAAAAAGUGUUAUUUUUAUCUUUUGAAGAUGGUUCCCUCUUAAGACUUUUGCGAAUGAUUAAGAUUUCAAUUAUGUUCCAGGAAAAAAAUAAGAUUUUUGCUUGACAAAAAAAAUUUUUGUCUAGAACAGGUGGGAAGGAAGAGAUAGUUUAGCCACAUCCAAGAGACCUGUAAAUUGGGUACAGUGAAGUGAAUGGUGUACCAGUCAUAAAAGAAUGUUAACUGGAGAAGUCUCUGCUGUCUUCCUGUAACUGAGGGGGGUGUAACCAUCCUUGUGGAAGCGUCCACUUUUAUUGAAGAUUGGCUAAAUAAAUCUGUGCCUACUGAAACUCAAGCCAUUUCAAAUUGGUCUGUACUUAUUUAAUUUAUUAAAUCUUUAAUACAUAA
ensembl:lncRNA LINC02180 long intergenic non-protein coding RNA 2180